rnacentral:rRNA from 1 species
AUUGAACGCUGGCGGCAGGCUUAACACAUGCAAGUCGAGCGGAGAUGAGGUGCUUGCACCUUAUCUUAGCGGCGGACGAGUGAGUAAUGCUUAGGAAUCUGCCUAUUAGUGGGGGACAACAUUCCGAAAGGAAUGCUAAUACCGCAUACGCCCUAUGGGGGAAAGCAGGGGAUCUUCGGACCUUGCGCUAAUAGAUGAGCCUAAGUCGGAUUAGCUAGUUGGUGGGGUAAAGGCCUACCAAGGCGACGAUCUGUAGCGGGUCUGAGAGGAUGAUCCGCCACACUGGGACUGAGACACGGCCCAGACUCCUACGGGAGGCAGCAGUGGGGAAUAUUGGACAAUGGGCGGAAGCCUGAUCCAGCCAUGCCGCGUGUGUGAAGAAGGCCUUUUGGUUGUAAAGCACUUUAAGCGAGGAGGAGGCUACUUAGAUUAAUACUCUAGGAUAGUGGACGUUACUCGCAGAAUAAGCACCGGCUAACUCUGUGCCAGCCGCCGCUGUAA